GGUUACGCCAUGCUGGUCGGCACUCCCUGGUGGACGGGCGUCAUUUCCACAGUGGCCGGGAUGUUAAUCAAGGCUGUUCACAAGUCUCCAAACAAAUCCACGACCAUCGCCUGCCUGGUUGCGAAUGUGAUCUGCGCCCUCGCCUGCACUCCCGC